CCUACGGGAGGCAGCAGUGAGGAAUAUUGGUCAAUGGGCGCGAGCCUGAACCAGCCAAGUCGCGUGAGGGAAGACGGCCCUACGGGUUGUAAACCUCUUUUGCCGGGGAGCAACGGGCGCCACGUGUGGCGCCACUGCGAGUACCCGGACAAAAAGCAUCGGCUAACUCCGUGCCAGCAGCCGCGGUAAUACGGAGGAUGCGAGCGUUAUCCGGAUUUAUUGGGUUUAACGGGUGCGUAGGCGGUGCGUUAAGUCAGUGGUCAAAUUGAGGGGCUCAACCCCUUCCCGCCAUGGAAACUGGCGAUCUUGAGUGGAAGAGAAGUAAGCGGAAUGCGUGGUGUAGCGGUGAAAUGCAUAGAUAUCACGCAGAACCCCGAUGGCGAAGGCAGCAUGCCGGCUUCCGACUGACGCUGAAGCACGAAAGCGUGGGGAUCGAACAGGAUUAGAUACCCCGGUAGUC
rnacentral:rRNA from 1 species